rnacentral:rRNA from 1 species
CGCACGGGUGAGUAACACGUAUGCAACCUGCCUGCCACAGCCGGAUAAUCGGGAGGAAAUUCCGUCUAAUACGGCAUAAUGCAUCGACGGGACAUCCUGUUGGUGCCAAAGGUUAAUUCCGGUGGCGGAUGGGCAUGCGUCGCAUUAGUUAGUUGGCGGUGUAACGGACCACCAAGACGACGAUGCGGUAGGGGUUCUGAGAGGAACGGUCCCCACACUGGUACUGAGACACGGACCAGACUCCUACGGGAGGCAGCAG